UGGAAGUAAAAAUCGUAACAAGGUCUCCGUUGGUGAACCAGCGGAGGGAUCAUUACCGAGUUUACAACUCCCAAACCCCAAUGUGAACGUUACCAAUCUGUUGCCUCGGCGGGAUUCUCUUGCCCCGGGCGCGUCGCAGCCCCGGAUCCCAUGGCGCCCGCCGGAGGACCAACUCCAAACUCUUUUUUUCUCUCCGUCGCGGCUCCCGUCGCGGCUCUGUUUUAUUUUUGCUCUGAGCCUUUCUCGGCGACCCUAGCGGGCGUCUCGAAAAUGAAUCAAAACUUUCAACAACGGAUCUCUUGGUUCUGGCAUCGAUGAAGAACGCAGCGAAAUGCGAUAAGUAAUGUGAAUUGCAGAAUUCAGUGAAUCAUCGAAUCUUUGAACGCACAUUGCGCCCGCCAGUAUUCUGGCGGGCAUGCCUGUCCGAGCGUCAUUUCAACCCUCGAACCCCUCCGGGGGGUCGGCGUUGGGGAUCGGCCCCUCACCGGGCCGCCCCCGAAAUACAGUGGCGGUCUCGCCGCAGCCUCUCCUGCGCAGUAGUUUGCACACUCGCACCGGGAGCGCGGCGCGGCCACAGCCGUAAAACACCCCAAACUUCUGAAAUGUUGACCUCGGAUCAGGUAGGAAUACCCGCUGAACUUAAGCAUAUCAUA
rnacentral:rRNA from 1 species